AUCCCUUCUCAGCAGUUUAGCUCAAAUCAAGUGCAGUAUCAACUCUUAUCAAUUUAAUGCCAGGCAUAUCUUCAGUUUGAGGAUUUUAUAUUAGAUAAGUGUGGGGACUGCAAGAUGGAUUCAGAGUUUUCUCUGUGCCUUGAUCCAUCAGUACAGCACCUCAGCAGAUGGGGCCGAGU
rnacentral:snRNA from 1 species